rnacentral:ncRNA from 1 species
AGGAUAGAGGCGCGGACUUUAUCAGUAGCGCUGACGGAAAAGGACUUGGCCCGUUCGUUGUCAGCGUGAAAGGAAAGCCCGCCGAAGAAGCAGCCCGGCCGUCUGUUUCUGGUCUUGCCGAGAAGAUCGGCACGACUGUCGCAUUUGCGGAGAGCUAUGU